CUGGCUCAGAACGAACGCUGGUAGCGUGGAUUAGGCAUGCAAGUCGGACGGGAUCGGCUGGUUAGCAAUAAUCGGCCGUGAGAGUGGCGGAUUGGGGAGGAACACGUGAGCAACCUGCCCCUGGGACGGGGAAAACCGUUGGAAACGACGGCUAAUACCGGAUGCGGCGCCGCGGGACAUCCCGCGAGCGUCAAAGGGGGCCGCAAGGCUCCCGCCCUGGGAGGGGCUCGCGCACCAUCAGCUUGUUGGCGGGUAACGGCCCACCAAGGCCUACGGUUAGCUGGUCUGAGAGGAUGACCAGCCCCACUGGGACUGAGAUACUGCCCAGACUCCUACGGGAGGCUGCAGUCGAGGAUCAUUUGCAAUGGGCGAAAGCCUGACAAUGCGACGCUGCGUGGAGGAAUGAAGGCCUUCGGGUCGUAAACUCCUGUCAUGAGGGAACAGGCGAGGGUACCCAACACGUACCUUAGUUGAGUGUACUUCAAGAGGAAGGGACGGCUAACUCUGUGCCAGCAGCCGC
rnacentral:rRNA from 1 species